rnacentral:rRNA from 1 species
AUGGUGCGGCUUAGGUCAACUAAUACGAAUAAGAUACAGUUCACUCAACGAUUGCCCUUGGGUCCCGAACUCCAUAUGGGGAAGGAACGUUGUUGUUUGCGAGGUCUCGAUCAUUUACAUGGACCCACUUCUCAUUCCAUUUGUGGGAAUUUGAUGAUUUAUAAACCGUCCCCAACGAGCGAAAGGUUCAUGUUUGAACAUGAUGAAUCACUUCGUGCCGACCUGUUGCCCAUAAACUUUCCUGCCUCAUAUGAGAAUGGAAAACUGGAAGAUUUUCUGCAUCGGUGGAUGAAGAAUCACGAACAUAAGAAUUUCUGGUUUAGCAUGUUCCCAGAAAGAAGAUACUUUUUUUCCAUUCGAGAAACGAGGAGCACGACUGAAGUGGCUAUACAUACAAAUCCAUUUACGGAUCUAUAUGCUCCGAUUGGAACUGGAAGUUCCAGAACUGGCGGCUGGAUA